CUUGAAAAAAAACAAAUAAUAUUGUGAUGAGAUUAGUGAACUACAUAACGAUCAUCGUCUUUUAAAAACUCUUUUACAAGACAUUUCAGCCGAAUACAGUGAUCUGUUGCAGCCCAAUGAUAUUCACUGGUUAAGUAGGGGAUGUGUGUUAGAGAGGUUUUGUGAGGCUCAAAAAGAAACAACAUUUCUUUCAAACCACAAGCCCAACAAGCUUGUGAGUUCCUGGAAUUUAUGAAUGGAUGUCCCCUUUACGUCACUGGUAGCUUCUCUGUAUGAUAUUCCUGAUCACUUGAAUUCCCUCAACUUGUAGCUCCAAGGCCGAGCAAGCAGUGUUGGGUCUGUUCAAAAAAGUUUGUGCCUUUGAGGAAUCUUGAAAUCUUUCACACAGACUUAACAGGAAAGUUGUUGCACUUUCCCACAUGGUGUGUUGUUGCUAUGAUGAAAUUUAGAUGAAAAUGAGGUAAGAAUUUCUAAACAAGCUGACUGAAAUUUUUAAAAUGUGAAUUAAGAAUUUUCAAAUUCCAAAGGAUUUGCUUUUAUUUGUUCAUGAUCUAUUUGUUGUCUCUGCCAGUGGACCUUGCCCUUCUGAAGCAAAGAACAUUCUUGACUCAAUUGAUGAAGGUGCCUUUCAAUUAGACGCUGUAAGGCUCCAGAGCUGAGCGGUCUUGAAGACAGAAUUCAGAGAAGUGAGACUGUGAUUUCUGGACUCAUUAUCCUGACCAACUUCAGAAUACCCAGAAUCUAGCCAUCUAUCUUUUAAUGAUAUUCAGAUCAAUGUACCUCAGCGAAUCUGGGUUUUCUACCAUGAACAUUAAAAAACCCAACACUGCAAUCAUCUGAUAGAUGAGUAUCUCCACCAAUGCAUGCACCUUGUCUUGACUUCCUACAAACCACUCUUCACAAAGCUUGCCAGACAUCAUUGGUCACCUCUCCCAUUAGAGAUUGCCACAAAGACAGGCAUAAAAAGAUCACUGAACUUUUAUCUAUGGGCAGUACUGCAAAAUUGACUAUGAAGAUUUCUGCCAUCCUCAUAAGCAUCAGAGAUAAGCAAUAAUGGAGGUAAGACAUUGUACUUGACCAACUUUCUAAAACUGAUCCAGUACAAAAAAAAUAUCUUUUAUGUUCCUAUGUCAAAUAACCAAGAGCUCUGUUUUUACUUCUUUUCCUCUAGAUGGUACUUUAUCAGUCAUUUAACUUCCGUAGACAUGCUGAGCUGAAGAAGGAAGAGAAAGAUCAUUAUAUAUAAUUCUCCAGAAAUACAAAGCAACCUAUUCAGUGACAUAGUUUCAAUAAGACAGCUCAAAAUACACAGCUAAUUUAGGUCUGAACUGUUUAGACUGUGUAAUCUUCUUUUGUACACCCAAACCCUAUUAUAACUGGAUAUACAAACAAUAUUGAAAGACUCAAAUUUUCACGAAGUAAAUGCACAAAAGCUACUCUGCAUUAUACACAUGGCUUGGUUCAGAUUCUCCCCUCUCUCUUGUUAGUUCCUUUAAAGACAAUGAACGUUGGAAGAAUAAAGAGAAAUGGAAACAAAGUAAUAGAAUGGGC
rnacentral:lncRNA from 1 species